rnacentral:rRNA from 1 species
AGCGAACGCUGGCGGCAGGCCUAACACAUGCAAGUCGAACGGCAGCACAGUAAGAGCUUGCUCUUAUGGGUGGCGAGUGGCGGACGGGAGAGGAAUAUAUCCGGAUCUACUCUUUCGGGGGGGUUAACGAAGGUGAAGCUACGCUAAUAUCGCAUAUGAUGUACCGGUGAAAGCAUGGGAAAGUUGGAGCUUGCGCGAAUGAACGCGCCGAUGAGGGACUGGCUAGUUGGCGGGGUAAAGGCCCACCAAGUGGGCGAUAGGUAGCUGGACUGAGUGGCGGGUAGGCCGCACUGGAGCUGGGCCACGGUCCAGACUACUACGGGAGGCAGCAGUGUGGAAUAUUGGGCAGUGGGCGCAAACCUGACCCAGCCAUACCGCGUGGGUGAAGAAGGCCUUCGGGUUGUAAAGCCCUUUUGUUGGGAAAGAAAAGCAGCAGGUUAAUACCCCGCUGUUCUGACGGUACCCAAAGAAUAAGCACCGGCUAACUUCGUG